rnacentral:rRNA from 1 species
UACAGAGGUCUCAAGCGUUGUUCGGAAUCACUGGGCGUAAAGAGCGCGUAGGUGGCCCGACAAGUCACUGGUGAAAGCUCGACGCUCAACGUCGAGUCGGCCAGUGAUACUGUUGGGCUGGAGCACUGUAGAGGCUCAUGGAAUUCCGGGUGUAGCGGUGGAAUGCGUAGAGAUCCGGAAGAACACCGGUGGCGAAGGCGGUGAGCUGGGCAGUAGCUGACACUGAGGCGCGACAGCGUGGGGAGCAAACAGG